rnacentral:misc_RNA from 1 species
UCGCCGCGCGACUGCCGCGACGCCACGAGCGAUUUUCAAAGCGCGCGCAGUAUCGGUCGCACCGGCAUCGCCACCGGCCCCGGAAAUGAUGUAUGUCGCUUCUUCGCUUUUACCGAGCGGCCGGUGCGAAAUUCACCCGUGUGACGUCACACUCGCGUUGUCCCCAUUGUCACAGGCCGAGCCGGCGUUUCUGCGCGCUCACGCGGCCUCGGCGAGCCGCCGCGCCGGGCGCCGUACCGGUUUUUCGUUCGGUUCCGACUCGCGCGACGGUUCCUCGCCGGCUGCGACGAGGGUGUCCUGCGUCCCACACACACACACACGUACACGCACGCAUGCACGCACGCACGCACACACAGGCGCGCGCGCACACACUGCCGUGCGAACGGGCCGUAGUCCGGGAUGCCUCUCUGACGCGCCGCAGUCUCGAUCGCGUCCGUCACCGAUCGCGCCGGUCGCGGCUGUGUGCGUUAUUAUUACCGAUGCGAUCGGAACAAACUCGGUACAGCGCUCGCUUCAGCGCCGGUGUCGGCAGAAUGUUGCGCUUUAAAAACCCGCUGCCGCAGCACGGAAGCUACGACGUGAUAAUGUCAUCCGGCGACUCAUCAUCUCCGGUGCAGGCAACGAUGUCUUCGACGGACUUCGACGUGCCAGACGACGCGAAGCUGA